CCCUUAGAUGUUCUGGGCUGCACGCGCGCGACAAUGACGUUUGCAACGAGAUUGCGAGGCCGUCAGGUCGAGCUGAUCUUGCAAGCUGCGUCGUGAUAGGGACAGUCGAUUGCAAUUAUUCGACUCGAACGAGGAAUUCCUUGUAAUCGCGCAUCAUCAGUGCGCGCUGAAUACGUCCCUGCCCUUUGUACACACCGCCCGUCGCUCCUACCGAUUGAGCGAUCCGGUGAAUGUUUUGGACUGGUGUCCGCAAGCGUUUCGCUUCGGACGCUACGAAAUUUUGUAAACCUUAUCGCUUAGAGGAAGGAAAAGUCGUAACA
rnacentral:rRNA from 1 species